GCGUUCGCCCUGGCUCGUCUCGGGUUCGGCUCCACUCGGCUCCGUUCCGGUCGGGUUCGGCUACACUCGGCGCCGCCCAGGUCGGCGGCACUCGGCUCGGCUCGGCUCGGCUCGGCUCGGCUCGGCUCCGCUCCGCUCGGUUCGGGUUCUCCUCCAGGCGGCUCUGCGGUCCUCGACGGUGACUUUUGAAAAUGAAGUCAGAGGAAACUGAAAGAGGCAGACCCUCCUGGUGAAGUAGCAGAGGGAUGCAAAGUGAGUCUGUGUGCUAACUGGGUGGAGAAGUUACUCAUGUGCCAGGCAGGCACACGUUGUGUGAAAACAGGAGCUGCAGAGACCCUCUGAGGAUUCUUGAUGUGCUGCUGAAGUGCCAUGCUGGUGGGGAAGAUUUAAAAAUGAUGACAUCUGAUAGAAGAGCUCGUCCAGAUUCUAUGACUGUGAAAUGUACAAAUACCUAAAUCUGGUACCACGGUAACUUGGAAGAACAGUUCUUACGCCUGAUUUUCCAUGUCUACAAAUAUGAAAAACAAGCUGCUUCAAA